rnacentral:miRNA from 1 species
UAAGUGCUUAUCAUAUUGGGAUU